UACGUAGGGUGCAGGCGUUAAUCGGAAUUACUGGGCGUAAAGCGUGCGUAGGCGGUCUGCUAAGAGAGAUGUGAAAUCCCCGGGCUUAACCUGGGAACUGCGUUUCUAACUGGCAGGCUUGAGUGUGGCAGAGGGGGGUGGAAUUCCACGUGUAGCAGUGAAAUGCGUAGAGAUGUGGAGGAACACCGAUGGCGAAGGCAGCCCCCUGGGCUAACACUGACGCUCAUGCACGAAAGCGUGGGGAGCAAACAGG
rnacentral:rRNA from 1 species